rnacentral:rRNA from 1 species
GGGACUUCGGUCCUGAGUAAAGUGGCGCACGGGUGAGUAACGCGUAGAUAACCUGUCUUCAUGUCUGGAAUAAUACACCGAAAGGGGUACUAAUACCGGAUAUUCUUGCUUUAUAUAAGUUUUGCAAGCAAAGGUGGCCUCUGAUUCAAGCUACUGCAUGUAGAGGGGUCUGCGUACCAUUAGCUAGUAGGUAGGGUAAUGGCCUACCUAGGCGACGAUGGUUAGCGGGUCUGAGAGGAUGAUCCGCCACACUGGCACUGGAACACGGGCCAGACUCCUACGGGAGGCAGCAGUGAGGAAUAUUGCGCAAUGGGGGCAACCCUGACGCAGCGACGCCGCGUGAGUGAGGAAGGCCUUCGGGUCGUAAAGCUCUGUCAAGAGGAAAGAAAUGCAUAGCGGUUAAUACCCGAUAUGUUUGACGGUACCUCUAAAGGAAGCACCGGCUAACUCCGUGCCAGCAGCCGCGGUAAUACGUAGGUGGCAAGCGUUGUCCGGAAUUAUUGGGCGUAAAGAGCAUGUAGGCGGAGGUUUAAGUCUGUUGUG